ACCUGGGUGGCUCAGUCGGCUGAGCGUCUGACUUCGGCUCAGGUCGUGGUCUCGCCGUUCGUGGGUUCGAGCCCCGUGUCGGGCU
rnacentral:tRNA from 1 species